rnacentral:rRNA from 1 species
GAUGAACGCUGGCGGCGUGCCUAAUACAUGCAAGUCGAGCGAACGGACGAGAAGCUUGCUUCUCUGAUGUUAGCGGCGGACGGGUGAGUAACACGUGGAUAACCUACCUAUAAGACUGGGAUAACUUCGGGAAACCGGAGCUAAUACCGGAUAAUAUUUUGAACCGCAUGGUUCAAAAGUGAAAGACGGUCUUGCUGUCACUUAUAGAUGGAUCCGCGCUGCAUUAGCUAGUUGGUAAGGUAACGGCUUACCAAGGCAACGAUGCAUAGCCGACCUGAGAGGGUGAUCGGCCACACUGGAACUGAGCCACGGUCCAGACUCCUGCGGGAGGCAGCAGUAGGGAAUCUUCCGCAAUGGGCGAAAGCCUGACGGAGCAACGCCGCGUGAGUGAUGAAGGUCUUCGGAUCGUAAAACUCUGUUAUUAGGGAAGAACAUAUGUGUAAGUAACUGUGCACAUCUUGACGGUACCUAAUCAGAAAGCCACGGCUAACUACGUG